CCUACGGGCGGCAGCAGUGGGGAAUAUUGCACAAUGGGGGAAACCCUGAUGCAGCGACGCCGCGUGAGUGAAGAAGUAUUUCGGUAUGUAAAGCACUAUCAGCAGGGAAGAAAAUGACGGUACCUGAUUAAGAAGCCCCGGCUAACUACGUGCCAGCAGCAGCGGUAAUACGUAGGGGGCAAGCGUUAUCCGGGUUUACUGGGUGUAAAGGGAGCGUAGGCGGCAACACAAGUCAGAUGUGAAAUACAGGGGCUUAACCUGUGAACUGCAUUUGAAUAUGUUUAGCUAGAGUACUGGAGAGGCAGACGGAAUUCCUAGUGUAGCGGUGAAAUGCGUAGAUAUUAGGAGGAACACCAGUGGCGAAGGCGGUCUGCUGGACAGCAACUGACGCUGAGGCGCGAAAGCGUGGGGAGCAAACAGGAUUAGAUACCCCAGUAGUC
rnacentral:rRNA from 1 species